rnacentral:rRNA from 1 species
AAUGAACGUUGGCGGCGUGGAUUAGGCAUGCAAGUCGCGCGAGAAGUUUCCUUCGGGAGACGGACAGCGGCGGAAGGGAGAGGAAUAAGUAGAAAUCUGCCCUCGGGACGGGGAUAGCGGCGGGAAACUGCCGGUAAUACCCGAUAACAUCUUUGGAUCAAAUGGUGUGAUUCCGCCUGAGGAUGAGUCUACUUCCUAUUAGCUAGUUGGUGUGGUAAUGGCUCACCAAGGCAACGAUGGGUAGCGGGUGUGAGAGCACGAUCCGCCUCACUGGGACUGAGACACUGCCCAGACACCUACGGGUGGCUGCAGUCGAGAAUCUUCGGCAAUGGGGGAAACCCUGACCGAGCGACGCCGCGUGCGGGAUGAAGGCCCUCGGGUUGUAAACCGCUGUCGUAAGGGAACAAAUCUAAGAGGGUACUCCCUUUUAGUUGAGUGAUCUUAGGAGGAAGGACGGGCUAAGUUCGUGCCAGCAGCCGCGG